CGCUUCUGCUGCAAGGCUGAAUAAAGUUCCAAGAAACGUACUUAAGAAAUGGAGUCGUGAAUUAGCAUAUGUUUUUGAAUCAUUCUCUACUUAUCAAGGAGUGGAAGGUCAAGUGGAGAAGAUAUGGAUUACUGAAAUUGCCACUGAUGGAGGAGUUCACUUGGUGGCCAUACCAAUGGAAAGGUGCAGGUGCUUGUUACUGCUCCUGAAAGAAUGCUGUGGACUUCAACUGAUGUGAAGAUUAUAUCCAUUGAAGGCGGUUUGUCAGUAUUUGCUGAGGUGAUUCAGACUCAUUGUCGAACAUAAGCAGUCAGCAAGUCCAUUGGAAACAAAUCCAUCCCCUCCAAAUGUCUUACACAACACUUGUAACUGUUCAAAUGACGAUGAACCAUAUUCUUGUGUGGUGCAAAGCUGUGAAAGGCAAGAUACUGUGUGCAAAAGCACCACCAAAGUGGACAUCACUUGGCUGGAAGAUCACAAAAGAAGAAAUGUCUUUGGGUCAUUACUGAGGUGGCGGAAAAGUCCAAGGAGCAAACAUCUCUUACGAUCAAAGGAGACGCAAGCACAAGGUAGAAGAAAGAGGGCGUACCCAGUGCACGAGGGUUCCACCACUGAGGUCGAGGGAGGGUCAUAAUGUUCAGUAUUGUAAUAGCCAUCUUGUAACUUUGCCUUUAUGAUUCUGAUCUUGUAAUUUUUGCAGAGUUGUGAGCAUUUCAAUCUAUCAUUAGAGGCAAUGUUAUUUAUUUAUUUUCUUUGGCUGUCUGCA